ACACUCCUGCGGGAGGCAGCAGUGGGGAAUUUUGGACAAUGGGCGAAAGCCUGAUCCAGCAAUGCCGCGUGAGUGAAGAAGGCCUUCGGGUUGUAAAGCUCUUUUGUCAGGGAAGAAACGGUGAAAGCUAAUAUCUUUUGCUAAUGACGGUACCUGAAGAAUAAGCACCGGCUAACUACGUGCCAGCAGCCGCGGUAAUACGUAGGGUGCAAGCGUUAAUCGGAAUUACUGGGCGUAAAGCGUGCGCAGGUGGUUUUGUAAGUCUGAUGUGAAAUCCCCGGGCUCAACCUGGGAAUUGCAUUGGAGACUGCAAGGCUAGAAUCUGGCAGAGGGGGGUAGAAUUCCACGUGUAGCAGUGAAAUGCGUAGAUAUGUGGAGGAACACCGAUGGCGAAGGCAGCCCCCUGGGUCAAGAUUGACGCUCAUGCACGAAAGCGUGGGGAGCAAACAGGAUUAGAAACCCGGGUAGUCCCAU
rnacentral:rRNA from 1 species